GAUGAACGCUAGCGACAGGCUUAACACAUGCAAGUCGAGGGGCAGCGGGGGUGCAGGCUUGCCUGCACCUGCCGGCGACCGGCGCACGGGUGAGUAACACGUAUGGAACCUGCCCGCCACAGGGGGAUAACCCGGGGAAACCCGGCCUAAUACCCCAUGCCGCCCGGACCGGGCAUCCGGUCCGGGCGAAAGGAGGAAUCCGGUGGCGGCUGGGCAUGCGGCGCAUUAGCUUGACGGCGGGGUAACGGCCCACCGUGGCGACGAUGCGUAGGGGUUCUGAGAGGAAGGCCCCCCACAUUGGAACUGAGACACGGUCCAA
rnacentral:rRNA from 1 species